rnacentral:rRNA from 1 species
GCCUACGACCAUACUACGUUGAAUACACCGGUUCUCGUCCGAUCACCGAAGUUAAGCAACGUCGGGCUUGGUUAGUACUUGGAUGGGAGACCGCCUGGGAAUACCAGGUGUUGUAGGCUUUU